rnacentral:rRNA from 1 species
GAUCAAGCUACAAAGGGCGCACGGUGAAUGCCCUGGCACUAGGAGCCGAUGAAGGACGUGAUAAGCUGCGAUAAGCUACAUGUAGGCGCACACAGCCUGUGAUAUGUAGAUUUCCGAAUGGGGAAACCCAUCUAGUUAUGCUAGAUACUGUAUACCGAAUACAUAGGUAUAUGGAGGUACACCUGGGGAACUGAAACAUCUAAGUACCCAGAGGAAGAGAAAGAAAAUUCGAUUCCCUAAGUAGCGGCGAGCGAAAGGGGAAGAGCCCAAACCAGGAACUUGUUCCUGGGGUUGCGGAUAGAUCAUAACGCUUUGAUUUCUUUAGUUGAAGAGAACUGGAAAGUUCCGUCGUAGAAGGUAAUAACCCUGUAGGCGAAAAGGAAAGAAAAGUAGAUCUACUCCAGAGUACCACGAGACACGUGAAACCUUGUGGGAAGCUGGGAGGACCAUCUCCCAAGGCUAAAUACUACCUAGUGACCGAUAGUGAAGCAGUACCGUGAGGGAAAGGUGAAAAGAACCCCGGAAGGGGAGUGAAAUAGAAUCUGAAACCGUGUGCCUACAAUCGGUCGGAGCACAUUAAAGUGUGACGGCGUACUUUUUGUAGAACGGGCCAGCGAGUUACGAUAUAUAGCAAGGUUAAGCACUUAUGGUGUGGAGCCGAAGGGAAACCGAGUCUGAAUAGGGCAACUAGUUGUAUAUUGUAGACCCGAAACCGAGUGACCUAUCCAUGGCCAGGAUGAAGCGGAAGUAAAAUUCCGUGGAGGUCCGAACCACGUUGGUGUUGAAAAACCAUGGGAUGAGCUGUGGAUAGCGGAGAAAUUCCAAUCGAACUCGGAGAUAGCUGGUUCUCCUCGAAAUAGCUUUAGGGCUAGCGUCGGGUAAUUGAGUAGUGGAGGUAGAGCACUGAAUGGGCUAGGGGCUGACAACAGUUACUGAACCCUAUCAAACUCCGAAUGCCAUAUACUUGUACCCCGGCAGUCAGACUACGAAUGAUAAGAUCCGUGGUCAAAAGGGAAACAGCCCAGACCAUCAGCUAAGGUCCCAAAGUGUAAGUUAAGUGGGAAAGGAUGUGGGAUUUCUAAGACAACUAGGAUGUUGGCUUAGAAGCAGCCACUCAUUUAAAGAGUGCGUAAUAGCUCACUAGUCGAGAGAUCCUGCGCCGAAGAUGUAACGGGGCUCAAACUUACCACCGAAGCUAUGGAUGUGUACUUUGUACACGUGGUAGAGGAGCUUUCUGUACAGGUUGAAGUCAUACCGUAAGGAGUGGUGGACAGUACAGAAGUGAGAAUGCUGGCAUAAGUAGCGAAAAACAAGUGAGAAUCUUGUUGACCGAAUAUCUAAGGUUUCCUGGGGAAGGCUCGUCCUCCCAGGGUUAGUCGGGACCUAAGCCGAGGCCGAAAGGCGUAGGUGAUGGACAACUGGUUGAUAUUCCAGUACCACCAUAAUGCGUUUGACAAAUGGGAUGACGCAGGAGGAUAGGAUGUGCGCACUAUUGGAUGUGCGUCUAAGCACUUAGGGUGUUAAGUAGGCAAAUCCGCUUAA